GCGAUCAUUGUCCAGCGGGAAGACGCCGGCUUGCCAGGCCGGAGACGCGGGUUCGAUUCCCGCUGAUCGCACCA
rnacentral:tRNA from 1 species